AACCGUUCAGGGGUAAACCUGAGAAACCCAAAAGUUCGAAUGGAGAGAUUCAUCGUCAGCGAUCCUGGCAAUUGUGCGGUUCGCGAUGCUGGGGACUUCGGUCCCGUUGCACGCGUCCGUAUGAUUUAUUUGCCGGGCGUCGUCGUCGUGCACUUCUCCCCUAGUAGGACGUCGCGACCCGUUGGGUGUCGGUCUACGACCCGGGUGGGCGCCUGUCACGUAUCACGCUUCACGGCGUCACGUGGCAGACCCCCGGCCGUCUGACCAGCUGCCCGGCGGUACUCGCACGGUAUUGAGCCGCAAUUCGAACUGCGUCCGGCCCGCCGCAAGCGAGGCCAGUGUUUCCCGGAUGUACGGACUUAGCGCCGUCACCGGGCCUGGCCAGCUGUUGGCUGGCGGUGUCCUAGGACUGGCUCUUAUAAUACCGGUCGGCGACGCUACUGCUUUGGGUACUUUCAGGACCCGUCUUGAAACACGGACCAAGGAGUCUAACAUGUGCGCGAGUCAUUGGGAUCUGUUAAGCCUAAAGGCGCAAUGAAAGUGAAGGUUGGCCUUGCGCCAACCGAGGGAGGAUGGGCCGCGUCACGAUGCGGUCCCGCACUCCCGGGGCGUCUCGU
rnacentral:rRNA from 1 species